rnacentral:rRNA from 1 species
UUGAAGGCUUGUAUGAACGGUUGGACAAAAAGUUAACUGUCUCGUUUAUAAAAAUUGAAUUUAACUUUUAAGUGAAAAGGCUUAAAUGAACUGGGGGGACGAUAAGACCCUAUAAAGCUUUACAAUAAGUUAAUUAAAUUACAAAUUAUUAGUUUAACUUAAUUUAAUUAGUAUUUGUUUCGUUGGGGCGACGAGAAUAUAAAUUAUAUAACUGUUCUUUUAGGUAUAUAACAAGAUUAAUUGGAGAAAGAUUGAUCCUUUAAUAAAGAUUAAAAGAUUAAGUUACCCUAGGGAUAACAGCGUAGAA